rnacentral:rRNA from 1 species
UACAGAGGUCCCGAGCGUUGUUCGGAUUCACUGGGCGUAAAGGGUGCGCAGGUGGGUUGGCAAGUUCGAUGUGAAAGCCCCGGGCUUAACCCGGGAAUGGCAUUGGAAACUGCUGAUCUGGAGGAUCGGAGGGGGACUGGAAUUCUUGGUGUAGCAGUGAAAUGCGUAGAUAUCAAGAGGAACACCAGUGGCGAAGGCGAGUCCCUGGACGAUACCUGACACUGAGGCACGAAAGCCAAGGGAGCAAACAGG